rnacentral:rRNA from 3 species
GGACUACCCGGGUUUCUAAUCCCGUUUGCUCCCCUGGCUUUCGCGCCUCAGCGUCAGUAGAGGUCCAGCACGUCGCUUUCGCCACCGGCGUUCCUUCUGAUAUCAACGCAUUUCACCGCUCCACCAGAAGUUCCACAUGCCCCUACCUCCCUCCAGACAGGCAGUUUUCAGGGCCCUUCUCCAGUUGAGCUGGAGGAUUUCACCCCGGACUUGCCCGCCCGCCUACGCGCCCUUUAAGCCCAGUGAUUCCGAACAACGUUAGGACGGUUCGUCUUACCGCGGCGGCUGGCAC